rnacentral:rRNA from 1 species
CUACGGGAGGCAGCAGUGAGGAAUUUUGCGCAAUGGGGGAAACCCUGACGCAGCAACGCCGCGUGAGUGAUGAAGGCCUUCGGGUCGUAAAGCUCUGUCAAGUGGGAAGAACCUACCUAUGGGUAAUAUUCAUGGGUACUGACGGUACCACUGAAGGAAGCACCGGCUAACUCCGUGCCAGCAGCCGCGGUAAUACGGGGGGUGCAAGCGUUAUUCGGAAUUAUUGGGCGUAAAGGGCGCGUAGGCGGUCUUGUUAGUCAGAUGUGAAAGCCCGGGGCUCAACCCCGGAAGUGCAUUUGAUACUGCAAGACUUGAGUAUGGGAGAGGGAAGUGGAAUUCCUGGUGUAGAGGUGAAAUUCGUAGAUAUCAGGAGGAACAUCUGUGGCGAAGGCGACUUCCUGGACCAAUACUGACGCUGAGGCGCGAAGGCGUGGGUAGCAAACAGGAUUAGAUACCCGUGUAGUC